AACGUAGGUGGCAAGCGUUAUCCGGAUUUACUGGGCGUAAAGGGUGUGCAGGCGGGGUUGCAAGUGGUGUAUGAAAUCUCCCGGCUUAACCGGGAGGGGCUAUGCCAGACUGCAAUUCUAGAGGACGAGAGAGGGGGGUGGAAUUCCGGGUGUAGUGGUGAAAUGCGUAGAGAUCCGGAGGAACCCCAGAGGCGAAGGCGGCCCCCUGGCUCGUACUUGACGCUCAGCCACGAAAGCAUGGGGAGCGAACGGG
rnacentral:rRNA from 1 species